CCUACGGGCGGCAGCAGUGGGGAAUAUUGGACAAUGGGGGCAACCCUGAUCCAGCCAUGCCGCGUGUGUGAAGAAGGCCCUCGGGUUGUAAAGCACUUUCAGUGAGGAAGAACGCCUGGUGGUUAAUACCCAUCAGGAAAGACAUCACUCACAGAAGAAGCACCGGCUAACCCGUGCCAGCAGCCGCGGUAAUACGGAGGGUGCGAGCGUUAAUCGGAAUUACUGGGCGUAAAGCGCGCGUAGGUGGCUUGAUAAGCCGGUUGUGAAAGCCCCGGGCUCAACCUGGGAACGGCAUCCGGAACUGUCAAGCUAGAGUGCAGGAGAGGAAGGUAGAAUUCCCGGUGUAGCGGUGAAAUGCGUAGAGAUCGGGAGGAAUACCAGUGGCGAAGGCGGCCUUCUGGACUGACACUGACACUGAGGUGCGAAAGCGUGGGUAGCACACAGGAUUAGAUACCCCUGUAGUC
rnacentral:rRNA from 1 species